rnacentral:rRNA from 1 species
UUUUGCGCCUCAAGCAUAUCUAACAGACUUUUUCGAAACUCAGGAAUUGAAAAAACAUCAAUAUAUGGCAUUCUAAGUAUUCGUUUAUUUUUCUUAAGAACUCCUAAACUAGAAACGGACUGAGAUGAAUCCGUAUAGUAAAAAAAUUCAAAACAGUAUCCCUCAAAAAUAGUUAAAAAACGAAUUCGUUCAUUAUUAUCAAUACUACAAUGAAUAUCAGUUAUAAAAUCUAACUCUUCAUUCUUAAAAGAAGUUAUCGUGCUUACUAAUUUUGAAAUUCUGACAUCGUAACAUUCUGUUAGAACUACACGAUCAUUCUUAAUACAUUCUUUUAAAAAAUUUUUUGCAACUGGCGAUUCAUCAAAAAAUUUCAAUUUAUUAAAAACUUCAUGACUAGAUUCAAUUCCUCUCCAUAUAAUAGAAAUUAAAUAUAAAAUUAGUUUUUUUUGAUUAACACCCUGAAUUUCAUAGUGAUUAUCUCUUUUUUUAUGUUUUACAGAUUUCUUUUUAUUUCUUAAAAUAUCUAGAGAAUAGCCUUCAUAUUUUGUAUUUAAAUCAUGCUCGCAAUCUCCACAUAGCAUAUAUGUGGCCCACUGAUCUUGAUCUUUAAUCACUUUUUUAUGCUGUUUAUCAAGUCUUAAAGCGUAAUUUGCACCAUUUAAAGCCUUUUUAAAAACUGCUCUCCCAAUAACAUGAGAGCGCUUCAAUUCUUUUUCUAGGUCGCAUAGUUUACAAAUUCCUUUUUUCAUAUUUUUUCUGCAUAUAGCUUUUGAGGUUUAAUUUAUAUUUUAUCAAUAAAAUUAAAGUAAUAAAAAUUUUAUGAUUAUUUAUUAAAAAAAAAGCCCCGCCAAUAAUCGAUAUUUAGCAGAGCUUCUUGUGCCAUACUAUGCUCGGCAACUUUUCUAUAGAAUCGUAAAGGUAAAAGUUUAAAAAUCCUUUCAUUGGAGAUUAUUAAUUAAAAUAAUAUCGUUUAAAUUCAUCUUAUUAAGCAAUAAAAAAUCAAUAUCACCCUACUGUUCAACUUCUUUAAAUAAAAUAUACAAAGCUGCAUAGUUAUCUAUAGCUGUAACAAUUUCCUGCUUUUUUUGAUCAAAUGGUAUAACAGGUGUCCGUUUUUGAUGAACUUUAUCAAUAAUCUCAUCUUUCAACUCGAUAUAAAAAACCGUAGAUUUAGGGAAUUCAUCGCUAUCAUUGAAUUGUUUGCCAUAAAAUAAAGGAUAAAAUUUAUUUAAUUGAUCAAUUAACAACCUUGUUAAUUGAACUUUUAUUUCAGACUUAAGAUCAUUGAAACAAUCCGAUUGUUUAAUUUCAUUGAUGAGUGAAAAAAAAUAUUCUGCUCUACUAUCCACUAAAUGGCUGCUUCCAAAAACACCUGAAAAAUGUAAACUUUUCAAAAGUAACAUCCGAUAUGUUGAAACUUUAAUUGACUUUAAUUGAUCUAUUGUUACUUGUAACUCCUUUUUUGCUUCUUUUAGUUUAACGAUAUUGCCUCCAAUAGAUAGCUCUUGAACCUCAUCAAAAUAUGCAAUUAUUGCGGAUACAAUUGCAGAAAAUAUUAUCAAAAUGACGAAGUGGUUUGGCUCAAUAUAUUUAUUCCUUAAAAGGAUAAAGGAAAUAAAUGAAAAUAAGACAAACGUAAUUAAAGAAAAUAUGAUUCUCAUGCAGUUUUUUUAGCAAAGAAAAUUUUAUUAUCAACGAUUUAAAUAUCGUUGCAAUAAAUUUUUCGAUAUUUUCAUUUAAAGAUAGUUUAUUCAUUCUGAUAAAAUAAAAGCCCAUCAUUUGAUGAGCUUUAAUACCAGUGAUUUACUUACACUUCCAACACUGUAUCACAAAUAUGCCAUACCCCGUGCGCACACUCAAGCGGUUUUUUCAAAAGUUUCAAAUCUGAAAUGCGGAUUUCGACUUUUGAUAUAAGCCAUACCACAUUUUAAAUCCUGUCUGAUUUGAUUAACUGAAGUGUCAUUACUUUGAGCAAUAUCACGUAAUGAAUUGCCCAUAACAUGAUGUGACCAAAUUGCUGAGAUCCAUUCUUGUAAAAUAUGGUCUUCAAUUAAUUUAAUAUCAAUAAUCAAUCUAUGGAUUGCACGUGCCUCAUUGUCAUUUAACUCACAGCAAGUACCCUUACGGCGAAUGCAUAAACGAUCUUUUAGAUUUUCAUCGCUCAUAUACAUAGCUAUUAAUUUUUCUCUUUGUUUUUGAGUGAUGCGUUUUGUUGGCAUCGUCUUAACAAUUUUGACCAUUGUUUCGGUAUCGCCGUUUAGCCAAGCUCCAAGCUGGCGACACCACUCUUCAAAACUAAAUCUAGACCAAUCGACCGCUUGUAAAAUGUGUUGUUGUACUGGCAUAUUCAUUUUCAUCCCACCAAUUGCUCAAUUUGUUUAAUCGCCACGCCUGCUUUCACUUGCUCUGUGCUGAACCGUAAAACUGUAAAACCCAUCAUUGCUGCGGAGUUGUAUUUCUCCAUAUCCCCUAAAUAGCCCUUACCUCUUGUGUGACGGCCUCCGCUCCAGAUCCCGCCUUCUACCUCAAUCAAAAUCUUUGAACCCUUUAUUAAAAAAUCUGCUCUCCAUUUGCGUUCAGGAUGGAACUUAUAUUCCUGUUCAAAACCAAUCUUGCAUGCUCUUAAAUGCGUUGCCAGAACCACUUCACCCACACUUGGUUGUCUGGCAACUUGCUUUGCUGAACGGCGCUUUUUAUUUUUCUUUAUGGGAAAUAACUUGCGGUAUUCAGCAAUGCUGACUGAUGACAUCAAGCACCACCUUUGAGCACUUGCUCUAUAGCUUUAAGGGUUCGAAUCAUUGCCAUUUGUAGAAAUUCAUGAUUGCCGCGCAUGUCUUCUUCAACAUACUGCAAAGCAUAUUGAGUCUCUUUUAAUGCCCCAUCUAAACGCUUUUGCAGCUCCUCCACUUUCGCUUGUUGUUCUUUUUGAAUCUCCCAAGCCCACUUUCCAGAUUUACCCUCAAACUCACUCAUGGCUGGCUCCUUUUUCUGCAUCACACAUUUCACAUUUAUCUAUAUGCCCCCACCCAUCAUCUCGAAUGAAGCCAAACCCCUUACAAGCCUUACAUUUGACUUUCUUUUCCUCACCCACCAAGAAAUAUCGAUCUUUCUGGUUGUAGGUAAUAUCAAUAGAACCUGAGUAAUAGCGCCUUAACGCCCCAUCAAUAUGAAAUUCGUGUGGACCUACACAAAACAUCCACCCCGAAUCCCCGCCGCACUUUGUAAACCAUUUGAAAUAUGCUUCUCUCCAUUUCACAUAACGGCCAGACAGAUGAGGAGUCAACAAUUCAAUUAAACGUGCUCUAAGCAUCUCCAUGCUUGCUGACAUAUCUCCAUAGUGAUAUUCAAGAUCGUAGCUAUACUCGCCUGUGUUAUAUCUAGUUGGCAUGAGAUUCACCGCCUCCGUAUAUUGAUUCGUGGUCGCGGAUAGCAGUCAUCACACGCUUAAUUGAAAUGGAACCAUCUGGAAUGAAGUCGCAAAAAUCAUCAAGAAAGCUCAAUCUCCCAUUUCCCACCAUGCGAACAUGCGUGUAACCAACAUGCUUAUCUGUCGUAAUGAAUGCAGGCGUUAGCUUCUCAACUCCACCUAAAUCGUUGAUGAUUUUCAAAGACUCCACCAGACGUUUAAGCUCAACCAAAUCUACAAAAUACUUCUCACGAUCUGCUGGGCUGAUUUCUACACUUUGACCACAUUGGAACUCAUAAC